GCCCAGACUCCUACGGGAGGCAGCAGUGGGGAAUUUUGGACAAUGGGCGAAAGCCUGAUCCAGCAAUGCCGCGUGCAGGAAGAAGGCCUUCGGGUUGUAAACUGCUUUUGUACGGAACGAAACGGCUCUUUCUAAUAAAGAGGGCUAAUGACGGUACCGUAAGAAUAAGCACCGGCUAACUACGUGCCAGCAGCCGCGGUAAUACGUAGGGUGCGAGCGUUAAUCGGAAUUACUGGGCGUAAAGCGUGCGCAGGCGGUUAUAUAAGACAGUUGUGAAAUCCCCGGGCUCAACCUGGGAAUUGCAUCUGUGACUGUAUAGCUAGAGUACGGUAGAGGGGGAUGGAAUUCCGCGUGUAGCAGUGAAAUGCGUAGAUAUGCGGAGGAACACCGAUGGCGAAGGCAAUCCCCUGGACCUGUACUGACGCUCAUGCACGAAAGCGUGGGGAGCAAACAGGAUUAGAUACCCUGGUAGUCCACGCCCUAAACGAUGUCAACUGGUUGUUGGGUGCAUUAGUACUCAGUAACGAAGCUAACGCGUGAAGUUGACCGCCUGGGGAGUACGGCCGCAAGGUUGAAACCCAAAGGAAUUGACGGGGACCCGCACAAGCGGUGGAUGAUGUGGUUUAAUUCGAUGCAACGCGAAAAACCUUACCUACCUUUGACAUGUACGGAAUUCGCCAGAGAUGGCUUAGUGCUCGAAAGAGAACCGUAACACAGGUGCUGCAUGGCUGUCGUCAGCUCGUGUCGUGAGAUGUUGGGUUAAGUCCCGCAACGAGCGCAACCCUUGUCAUUAGUUGCUACAUUUAGUUGGGCACUCUAAUGAGACUGCCGGUGACAAACCGGAGGAAGGUGGGGAUGACGUCAAGUCCUCAUGGCCCUUAUAGGUAGGGCUACACACGUCAUACAAUGGCUGGUACAGAGGGUUGCCAACCCGCGAGGGGGAGCUAAUCCCAUAAAACCAGUCGUAGUCCGGAUCGUAGUCUGCAACUCGACUACGUGAAGUCGGAAUCGCUAGUAAUCGCGGAUCAGAAUGCCGCGGUGAAUACGUUCCCGGGUCUUGUACACACCGCCCGUCACACCAUGGGAGCGGGUUCUGCCAGAAGUAGUUAGCCUAACCGCAAGGAGGGCGAUUACCACGGCAGGGUUCGUGACUGGGGUGAAGUCGGAACAAGGUAGCCGUAUCGGAAGGUGCGGCUG
rnacentral:rRNA from 1 species